rnacentral:rRNA from 1 species
GAUGAACGCUAGCGGCAGGCCUAAUACAUGCAAGUCGAACGGAUAUAUGUUUUUCGGAAUAUAUAUUAGUGGCGCACGGGUGAGUAACACGUACAUAACUUGCCCUCAAGCGGGGGAUAGCCUUGGGAAACUGAGAGUAAUACCCCAUAGAAUUAUUGGACGGCAUCGUUUGAUAAUUAAAACUACGGUGCUUGGGGAUAGAUGUGCGUCUGAUUAGCUAGUUGGUGAGGUAACUGCUCACCAAGGCGACGAUCAGUAGGGGGCGUGAGAGCGUGGCCCCCCACACGGGUACUGAGACACGGACCCGACUCCUACGGGAGGCAGCAGUAAGGAAUAUUGGUCAAUGGAGGGAACUCUGAACCAGCCAUGCCGCGUGAAGGAUGACGGCCCUCUGGGUUGUAAACUUCUUUUGGAUGGGGCGAAAAAACGGGNUUUANCCUGGACUGACGGUACCAUCAGAAUAAGCACCGGCUAACUCCGUGCCAGCAGCCGCGGUAAAGU